rnacentral:rRNA from 2 species
UCUGGCGGCCAUAGCGGUGUGGCACCACCUGAAUCCAUCCCGAACUCAGCAGUGAAACACACC